UUGUUGCAGUUAAAAAGCUCGUAGUCGGAUUUCAGUAUUAGGCCCUUCUUCCAAUACGGUUGCUAGUGGUCUUUACUUCCUUAACAGAAUCUUUCAUCUCAUUAAUUUGGGGUGUUUGGGGCCUGUUUCUUUUACUUUGAGAAAAUUAGAGUGUUCAAAGCGGGUUUUCGCCUGGAUAUUACUCUUGGAAUAAUAAUAUAGGACUUUGGUUCUUUUUUGUUGGUGACUUAGAACCGAAGUAAUGAUUGAUAGGGACAGUUGGGGUCAUUCGUACUAUGAAGCGAGAGGUGAAAUUCAUGGACCUUUGUAUGACGAACUACUGCGAAAGCAUUUGACUAGGAUGUUCCCGUUGAUCAAGAACGAAAGUUGGGGGAUCGAAGACGAUCAGAUACCGUCGUAGUCUCAACCAUAAACUAUGCCAGCUAGGGAUUGGAGGAAGAUCAUUUUACGUCUCCUUCAGCACCUUAUGAGAAAUCAAAGCAUUUGGGUUCCGGGGGGAGUAUGGUCGCAAAGGCUGA
rnacentral:rRNA from 1 species